UUGCACUGUAAUAUACACAUAAUUUAUAGUCAACAUGUUUCUUAAUUAGAAGUGCUCCAUUGUCCAUUGGCAUACCUUUCAGUAUUGGACUGGGGAAAGUAUAUAUGGAGUAGUAGUAGGCUUUUUUGGAUGGAUUUUGGUGUCUGCAUGAAACUGUACUUUUGUGUAUUACUAUGCUAUACUGGAUUAUUUUUCUACAGUCGCACAGUGCUGCACUGAGUUUUCAUCUACAAAAACAAAAGAUAUCAAGCAUAAACAGAUAUGAAAGCAGGGUUAAGUAUUUCAUUCCAAGUGCGAGCCAUUUUAUUCCCUAAAUGCUUAAUAAUAAUGCUUAAACAAAUUGUUUGUGGACAUUUUGCAGCUGGGUACUUAGUAAUAUUUCUUAUUCCAUUGCAGGUGCCAAGUUUUGGAGUCAAGCUGCCGUGACCGUGUGAUAUUGUGCUAUUAAGGCAACUUGAUACCAUCAGCACAAUCAGCACAUAUACAACCCCUCGAGAUCAGCCUACAGCCCCUCGAGAUCAGCCAUAACAAGGACGAAGCAACCGUCGUCUGAAGAACCCCUGACUGAGAUCGAGAAGAUUAGGGCUAGAACUAUGAUGAGGAACAACCGCAUGUUCCAAUCGCUAGGUAUUGGUGUGAUAGUAUCAAUGAUUAGGAAGUCAAAUGCACGUGAAGACGGCAGUGCAACUACUUGUGAUGAAUCGACAUCUUCCAUAACACAAGCUGGAAGCUUAAACUACAACCCUAAAGAUGAUGAAGUUAUUGAUGGAGAGGAAGUUGAUGACAAAUUAGUGAAGAAGAAAGGAAAGGCAAAUUUUGAAAUGGACACGGAAUCAAGUGUCAUUGAGUAUGCAUGCACUGAUAUCUUGAAGAAUUCAUUGAGGAACAGACGCCACCAUGUCAAGAAGGAGUACUUUGACAAUGUCGAAGCAAGCAAGGUUAGCAUAAAGUCCCGUGUUUCUGACAUAACGGAUACUGAAUGGCGAAGGCUGGUCGAGCUGUGGUCAACUCCAAGACACAAGAUAUGAGACAUGUGCCAAUAACAAUGUGAAUCGAACAAAAGUCAAGUUUGCGCAGAAAACAGGUUCAAGAUGCUAUGUUGCUCAUGUGCAUGCAACUCAAGAGCAAAGAAAGGGUGAAGUGUUAUCUGCAUUUGACAUUUUCAAGGCGACACACAACAGCACCAAACAUGGAUUCUCAAAGGAUGUUCAAAUUGCUAUAUCUGAGAUGGAAGAGAAGAUGACUGCUCGUGUACAAGAAGGCGAAGAGCAAAAGUCUUCUGUUUCAGUUGUUGCGGAAGUUCUGACCAAGCAUCGCCCAUCAAGCAAAUUCUUGAAGAAUGUUGGGCUGUAGCCAAACUGUACUGACAAGUCCAGCAAGUCAAAUACUGCUGUCAAUGCUCGUGUGCUGGAUCUACAAGAGCAGCUCGAGAUGUCGCUUCAACAAAGUGAAGUCAUGCGUGAAGUGAUGGAUGCUAUGAAGAGGAAGGCAGCAGAAGCUGAAGCGGCAAAAGCCAAACGCGACAAAGUCGUAUGAGCUGCUGCUCAAGAAGGCGGAAGAAAACGAUGCGAAGUACGCUCAGUUGAUUGCGCUUCUUGGAGACAAAACAAGGAACUAGUUGGAUUUGGUAUUAGAUUUUGGUAGCAGUACUUGAUAAUAGAUCUUGGAAUUAGAUUUUGGUAGCAGUUCUUGUGCACUUGAUAACUAUGGUGUGCUACAGAUUUAUGGUGUGGGCUGAAAUUUGUGGUUGUGCUACAUAUUUUGGUUGUGUUACAGAUUUAUGGU